CGCGGCCUAUCAGCUUGUUGGUGAGGUAAUGGCUCACCAAGGCGUCGACGGGUAGCCGGCCUGAGAGGGUGACCGGCCACACUGGGACUGAGACACGGCCCAGACUCCUACGGGAGGCAGCAGUGGGGAAUAUUGCACAAUGGGCGCAAGCCUGAUGCAGCAACGCCGCGUGAGGGACGACGGCCUUCGGGUUGUAAACCUCUUUUAGCAGGGAAGAAGCGAAAGUGACGGUACCUGCAGAAAAAGCGCCGGCUAACUACGUGCCAGCAGCCGCGGUAAUACGUAGGGCGCAAGCGUUAUCCGGAAUUAUUGGGCGUAAAGAGCUCGUAGGCGGUUUGUCGCGUCUGCUGUGAAAUCCGGAGGCUCAACCUCCGGCCUGCAGUGGGUACGGGCAGACUAGAGUGCGGUAGGGGAGAUUGGAAUUCCUGGUGUAGCGGUGGAAUGCGCAGAUAUCAGGAGGAACACCGAUGGCGAAGGCAGAUCUCUGGGCCGUAACUGACGCUGAGGAGCGAAAGGGUGGGGAGCAAACAGGCUUAGAUACCCUGGUAGUCCACCCCGUAAACGUUGGGAACUAGUUGUGGGGUCCAUUCCACGGAUUCCGUGACGCAGCUAACGCAUUAAGUUCCCCGCC
rnacentral:rRNA from 1 species